GUCUCCUGCGCUCGCCACGUGUCAUCUCCCUUGAUCCGCUGCGUUUAAUUAGCCUAUGUAUUACGUUGUCUAUUAAUUUGAUCUGGGCCUUACCUUCAUUCUGAUUGGCGAGCCCAUAGUGAGUUUCUCCAAAUGUAAACGUGGCAAUGAACGUCGUUUCGUAUUAGGAUUUUCGAUUGCCUUUCGUCUCCACCAUUCAAUGUGAGACAGAACCAGAGUUCUUAGAGAGUUCUUUCAACUUCUUCCUGACGAUCUAUACCAGUUACAGAUUUCUUAUCUUAAAGUAAUUCUUACAUCAUCACCCACUAACUAUAUUUAAUGCGAGCUUCUUCAUGCAAAGCGGUGGAGCUUCGAUUAUAAAAGGCGAUCUUGCUUUCCGAUCGGAAGACCGGACGAUGCUCAUUCACCGUUCAAGUCUGAUUGUUCCGCUUCUGGGAGGCCAAGAACGUCCGACGCGGCGGCGAACUCAUGGGAGUCGCUACGUUGCUGCUUGAUUCCCAGUCGACCAUGAUGCCGGCGACGGUGAAUGUGAACCGGCUUGAAACUUGCCUAAUCUGAAGACGGGUUAACUAUAUUCCGAUAGGUGUGGAAACUUUUCGGUUCCGUGAUCACAGCGAGCUGCUUGGUCUUGCCAACACAAACACUCAGCUUCCAGACAUCGUCGGUGAGAUAACUGCCGUGAAGAGCACUUUCACCGAUCCUCCACAGAACAAUAACCGUCUGAUGGCAACUAUAAAAAUGGAUAAGUUACUAAUUCUUCCAUAUUUAUCCAUUUAGAUUUUAAUUUGUCUACUUUAAAAAGUAUUACAUUUUGAUCAGUUUUUUUAUGUACAUGUUAUCAGUGAUGUUUCGGUGACUAUGAGUCUGUUCGACUCACAGGCUGUCAAGCUCCACAAACAACUUUAAUCGAUGGGAGGUGGUCCAAGGGUUCUGGUUGCAACCAGUAUCAACCCCCAAAUUGUGGGAGGUCGUCUGUUUCUGAAUGCUACUUCAGGCACACACAUAUAUUUUGACAAGGAAACCACCGCACGGGAGACUUAUUUCUACAGGCUGGUUGCCCAAGACACCAGGCUUCCAUCAGCAGCUCCAUUGCUAAAGAGCUACGCCAAAGUGGAAUCUCUGAGCAUAGCUGAGCUCAAUGAAUUUGUCAUAUCUGCUUCUUCUUAGGAGAUUGAUUUCAUCUGCACGGGAAGGUCGCUGGUAUCAAGCUGGACAAGGGAUUGUGCUACGUUUCUUGCUCCAACUGCACCAAAAGCUCCAACGCAUUGUCUCAGCUUUCACCUGGCUGCAUUGUACUAAUACUAAUGCUGUUGGCGUCUAACCAUUUAUAUCGGGUGGAGAUGUCCAUUGUUGUUUGUUUUAAUGGGGUUAUGACAAAACUGCAUAAUAUGAGAGCCUAUGAAACUGGCCAUCUUUUGGCUGGUGAUGGUGUGAACCCGGAGGACACUCAGGCACCUCCAUUUGUUGCAGGCAUGGACGGUAGGCCUACACAUUCCAGGUUAAGGUCGGUGCAUACAACUUCACUCCCGCAUCCUUAGUGAAGGUGACCGUAUGCCGCUCUCUCAAUUUGUUGACAAUGGAAGCGAUGAUGACAAUGGAAACAACAACAGUGGUGCCAUCUCGGUUCGUUCUAAGGUGGAGACUGGUGGUAGCAGUCAGGUGCAAGGAUCCUCGGAAGUUAAGAAGAAGGCACGUAAGGCAUAGGUGGAGAUGAUUGGAUACUUGAAGUUAUGAUGCAGUAUUUUCCGCUUUCAAUAAUGCUUAUGCAUCUGUUUUUUUCCCCUGUUUUGUUGACAACUUGGUCUUUGAAUAUUGGUUAGUUUAUGUUUGGUUACAGACAACCUGUAUAAAAUCUAUCACGUUCUCCAGUGUUUUGUAUUUAAGAUCUUUAUUCAUAUUUGGAUAGCUCAAACACUGCUUGAAAUGGAA